rnacentral:misc_RNA from 1 species
AAAGAGCAGCCUCCGAAGAAGUUUUUGGAUCUUGCUAAUGAAUUUGUAACACUUAGUGGGGGAUUACCUCUGGCUUUGGAAAUUUUUGGAUCUUCAUUGUUCUAUAAGAAAGGAUUGAAGGAGUGGGAAGAUGUAGUGCAAAAGUUUAGACAGAUCCGUCCAGGUGAACUUCAAGAUAUCUUAGAAAUAAGUUUUGGUGCUCUAGAUGAACAAGAAAGGUG